rnacentral:misc_RNA from 1 species
UCGCGUGAAGGUGUUGCAAUGUGGAACUGAGUUCUUUAUUGGAAACUACAAAACUCAGCAGCACAUCAGCUUAGCACAUCAUUGGAGGCUUGGUAGGCAUUGUAACCAACAUGGGGACCCAUCUCUUUGCCAUCGUGGUGUCCCUAGCAGUUUCUGUCAGAGGAAUUCUUUCCAGCAAUGUCACCCUUGGCCCCUACGAGACAGCCCGAAUAACAUCUCCUUCCUACCCUAACAACUACGGCAAUAACUUGAACAUCAUCUGGGUCAUUCAGACUGUUGAACAUUGGCGGAUUCACGUUAUCGCUUCAAGUUUUAACACAGAAUCCUCUUACGACCCCCUGCGAGGCGGUGAUGGCACAGACAGCGCAAACUCGACAACUGCGAUUUUCGUUUCAAGUGGGUCCAGAGGUCCAGAUGCAGUUUCCAAUGGACCUGUGAUGUGGUUGAGGUUCACAAGUGACUACAUUAUCUCAUCCUCCGGUUUCAUCCUGUGGGCUGUCAGUGUACCAUCUCAAUCGAGUUUGGAUUUCAACUGCACCUUUGAAGAUGGAUUGUGUGGUUGGACGCAGUCAACCGAUGAUGAUUCAAACUGGACUCUGGAUAGUGGAGGAACUCCAUCUUCCGAUACUGGCCCGUCUAUCGACAAAACAAUAGGCAGCACAAUUGGAACCUAUUGCUACUACGAGGCCACAGGAAGGAGUGAAGGUGAUAGAGCUGUGCUAGUUAGCCCAGUGGUUGCACGUGACAUUGGGAGAUCUCCGAGUAACUUCUGCUUCAGCUUUUGGUACAGCAUGUACGGCCUAUCUAUGGGCACUCUCAAUGUGUACGGGGUCCCGAUUAACGGAAGCAUUGAUGACGGGGAGGUUGUCUUCACACGGAGUGGACAGCAAACCACAAGCUCAAGGACUUGGCUUUUUCAGUCGAUAUGUCUCUCAGGCCCUGCUCCCAGGUUCAAAGUAGCCUUUGAAGCGGUACGAGGCAGUGGCUACACGUCGGACAUUGCAAUCGAUGACUUGGUUGCGUCGGUUUUUUCCAGUGUCACGGUGUUGUUCUGGGAUUCCACCACAAUCUUCCCACCUGUCGGUGGAAUAUCUCACAUAGUAGAGGGCGAAGACCAAUCCUUUCUCUGUCAGGUUGUUGACCUGCAACAAGGGGCAUCUUUCAGGUGGACAGUGGACUACCAGGAAGUGACGCCGGACAGAAGCAGCAGCCUACGAGACAAUAGCGGACUUUACACGAGCACAAGCGUUCUCACACUACCGGUAAUUACGAGUGCACGGCACGGCAAGGUAGUACAAUGCCACGCCCAACCAACAAACCAAUAUCCCUUAAGUACUGUGGCAACGAUUUACGUCAAAGUUCCACCGAAGCAAAGCAAUCUGUCACUGUAUGACAGCGAUGGCAUCUUAGGUGUGAGUGUUAGCGUCGUGGAAGGUGCGCCAAAGGCAUUCUUUUGCACAGUUAAGCUAACAAGACCGGCUGCUACCAUCCAAUGGCUCCUGAAUGAAGCCAAUCAAAUGACCGACACCCCUCCCUCUGGAGGAAGUGACGGAUUGAUGGAUACCACCAGCAGCUGGACGCUGGUACCCAGCCGAGCCAACCACGGGCAGAGGGUCAAGUGUGUGGCGAGUACACCCGAGUCAGAGAGUCCGUUACCGUCAGUGACGGUUACGCUGGAUGUUGAAGGACCCCCUGACACUCCCUCUAUAACAGGCAGCCAGGAGAUGACUGAAAAUGAACUAGCUCAGCUGGUAUGCCAAGCCGACUUGGGCUAUCCUAACGACUGGGGCCUGGUGUGGUCUACAGGCGGUUUACCUGCCCAGGGCUCGCUGACCACCGCUGUGACAACAUCAGGAAACCGGUUCAAAUUCACCAGCACGUUGAACUUCCAGCCAGCGAGAACAAACAACGGGGACAUGAUCACUUGUUCUGUGGCAAGGGGCUCUUUAACCCAAGGCCUUACGGAGACUUUUGGUCCCAUCAAUGUCAAAUACCCCCCAUACUUUUCUGACCUGGAGACGCCAAGAACGGUCAGUGAGGGUGAUGACGUCAUGUUUACUUGCCGCGCAGAUGCAAACCCCAAGCCCGCCAGAUUCAUCACUUGGGAAAAGGUGGGAUCCCCAAACACCCUAUCCUCAGUCUACAGCAAUGGUUCAAGCAGCCUAGCACUGCUCAACAUCAGCAGGGAGCAGGCUGGCCGGUACAGGUGCCGUGGGGACAAUGGUGUCCCGCCCGUUGUGUAUUCCAGUCAGAUAAACGUCACCGUGCGAUUUAAGCCCCGUCCACCUAUGGACAUCUUGAUUCAACAAGGAGGUCUCACCUCGGACUCUCUGACGAUCGCGUGGACGCCAACCAACGACGGAGGCGAGGAGCAGUGGUUCUACGUCAAUCACCGUGAACUGGAGUCGACCGCCGACUUCGACCCCGCCACGAGAAGUAUCAGGCUGUACAAUGUGAGCAUGUUCACAGUGGUGGGUCUGCAUCCCGACACUGCGUACGAGGUUGAGGUGUACGCCGAGAACGCCAACGGAGUCAGUGGCGCAGUGAAAACAGUGGGGACCACUAAGCGGUCCUCUCUUGCACAUUUGGGGUAUAUUGCUGGUAUGUCUGUAGAAGCUUUGAUUCUGCUCCUCAGCAUCAUAACAAACCUUGUCCUUUGCUGGAAAUGGAGGAUCACUACUAAGCAAGAAAAACAACAACGUGCCUCUGAAAGCAGGAGAGCAAAGACGGGAGCGUCACCCCGGGUAGUGGAAGUAACCGAGGACUACGAAAUUAUGAGUAUACCUAUGCGGACUAUCCAAGCAAAAACUGCUGCAGUAGCCGAAUCCACAUACGACAACAUCGCUGAGUCCCAGGUAACGAUCUCCCGAGACCAGCUGACCUUCGUGCGAGAGCUCAGACAAGGCGCUUUCCGCAAGCUGCUGCUUGCUAAGGCCGAGGGCAUCGAACUGCCUGGCGUUGCUACGCCAGUGGUGGUUAAAACCACACAAGAUGAGAACGAUCCCAGUGAGAAAGAAAGCCUGAUGCAGGAGUUGAUGUCAAUGAAAGCGCUUACCAGCCACGCUAAUAUUGCAAGGCUUCUCGGGUACUGCGUCGACAAAGAUCCAGUAUACGUAAUCGUUGAAAAUGUGGCACAUGGGACGCUGAAGGAGCUCCUUACUGAGUACGCCGACCAGUCGGAGCAGGUGUAUGAUAACUUGGGGGGCGCUGCUAACAUACCCCUCACUCCCAGGACUCUCCUCAGCAUGGCCAAGGACGUGGCUGAAGGCAUGGCUUUCCUGGCCUCAAACACGGUGAGAUGCACCACACCACACCACACCGUCACCUCAUCGCACUGCACCACACCACAUUGAGCCAUAUUAAACCCGAAACAAACCACGAACUACAUACUCCAAUUCACAUGACACUGCACAACAGAAUGUGUACACAUAUGUGUACAAUUUUCAGUGUCUUCACAAAGAUCUUGAAUCUUGCAACGUUUUCGUUGGUGAAGAAAUGGUCUGCAAACUCCUUGAUUUCGGAUAUGCCAAGGAUG